rnacentral:rRNA from 1 species
GAUGAACGCUGGCGGCGUGCCUAAUACAUGCAAGUCGAGCGAACACAGGACGUGCUUGCCUGUCGGAUGUUAGCCGCGUGCGUGAGAGUAAGAAGUGUAUAACCUAGCUAUAAGACAGGCAGAAAUUCGGGAAACCGUACCUAAUACCGGCUAAUAUUGUAAACCGCAUGGCUCAAUAGAAAAAUUCGCCUUUCCCCUUACUUAUAGACGGAUCCGCGCCGCAUUAGCUAGUUGGUAAGGUAACGGCUUACCAAGGCGACGAUGCGUAGCCGACCUGAGAGGGUGACCGGCCACACUGGGACUGAGACACGGUCCAGACUCCUACGGGAGGCAGCAGUGGGGAAUCUUGCGCAAUGGGCGAAAGCCUGACGGAGCAACGCCGCGUGAGUGAAGAAGGUCUUCGGGUCGUAAAACGCUGUUAUUAGGAACGAACCGGUGUGUGAGAAACUAUGCACGUAUUGACGGUACCUGAACAGAAAGCCACGGCUAACUACGUG